rnacentral:lncRNA from 1 species
GGACACCUGGCCGGGACAGAGCGAAUGCCAGUGAAUCCCAGGGCGCCCUCUCCCGCGCGUUGGUUCUCUAGCCCUCCUUCCCUGGGAGGGGUGGGAUUGGGAGUGUUCUGUUUUCAUUACUGCACCCCUUCCCCUAAAGACAACGGGACUGCCCUCCUCCACAGCGCCUUACCUCAAACAGGGGACCGAUCUUGUUCUUCUCCAGGUUGGACACCUAAUUUGCACAUCAGGACUGCCAUGGACCAUGGUGCAAUGAAGGUGAAGACUGGAGCACUCAUCACCCACGGGUCUCACUUUGUUGCCCAGGCUGGAGUAUAGUGCCCUGAUCACAGCUUGCUGCAACCUCAAGCUCCCAUGCUCAAGCAAGCUUCCUGCCUCAACUUCCCAAGUAGCUGAGACCACAGGCAUGCUCCAUGACACCUGAACUCCUGAACUCAAGCGAUCCUCCUGCCUCAGCCUUCCAAAGUGCUGGGAUUACAGGCAUGAGCCCCUGAACCCUGCCUACCCUCUGUUUCUAUGUGGUGUUUGUCUUUCUAAGCCUGGCCUAUUUCGUGUAACAUAAUUUCCUCCAGAUUUAUCCAUAUUGUCUCAAAUGACCAGAUUUCUUUCUUUUUUAAGGCUGAAUAGUAUUCCAUUGUACAUAUAUACUACAUUUUAUUUAUCCAUUCAUCUGUUGAUGGACACUUAGGUUGAUUCCAUAUCUUGGCUAUUGUGAAUAAGCUGCAAUGAACAUAGGAGUGCAGAUACUGCUUUGACAUAUUCAUUUCAUUUUCUUUGGAUAUGUAUCCAGAAGUGGAAUUGGGCUGGAAUAUAGGCAGUUCUAUUUUUAAUAUUUUGAGGAAACUCCAUAUUACUUUCCAUAAUAGCUGUGCUAAUUUACAUUCCCACCGCCAAUGUAUAAGGGCUUCCUUUUCUCCACAUCCUCUCCAACACUGGUUAUCUCUUGUCUUUUUGAUAUGUUUUCUCUUCUCUGUAAAGCUAUUGGUUGUAGCAUUUUACUUUUUCCAAAUUUUUUUAAUCAAACUUUUGAAAUGUAUAGCUGAAAUGAAAGAAUUUUAGCAUGAAUGCUAAUAUACACUCAGCACCUAUAUUCUUGCUUUUUCAUGUAUUUACUCCUGAAUUAAUAUAUUACUUGUUAUAUGCUUUUGAAAGUAAACUGCAAACAAGUGCAUGCUUCUCCUAGAUCUUUCCACAUGCUCUGCCAUUAAUUAGAGUUCAAUGUUCAAUUUUUUCCUUUUGAUGUACAAUUAAUACACAAUUAAUUUACACACACAUUUUACUUAGUUCUGAAAAAUGUAUAUACUUUUAUAACUCAAAGCCCAUCAUUAUACAACAUUACUAUCACCCUAGCAAAAUCUUUUGUGUCCCUUCUCAAUCACCAAUCCUGACCACACCCCAAGAAAACUACUGUUCAAAUUUUUCUCCAUCAUUGAUUGGCUUUGUCUGUUUUAGAACUUCAUAAAACUAAAAUACUGUAGUAAAUUAUGUACAAUUUUAUGACUAGCUUCCUUUGCUCAAUAUAAUGUUUUCGAGAUUUAUUCAUAUUGCUGCAUGUCAGUAGUUGGUUCUUUUUAUUGCUGCAUAUUUCAUUGAAUAAAAAUGCCAAAGCUUGUUUAUUCAUUCUUGUCUCACAUCAAAGUAUCUGGGGGAUGUUUUCCACUUUUGGCUAUUAGAAAUGAAACAGAUUUGAAUAUUGUCGUACAGGCUUUUUAUGCAUAUAUAUGCCUUCUUUGAGUAAAUACCCAGAAAUUAUGUUACUGGAUCAUAGGUUAAUAUAUGUUUAGUUUUAGAAGAAAAUGCUACCUCUUUUUUCCAAAAUAUUGUCCCAUUUUACACUCCCAGCAGUAAUGUAUGAGAUUUCCAGUUGCUGCACAUCCUUACCAAAAAUUAGCUUUUCUAAUUUUAGUCAUUGUAAGGGGUGUGUAGUGGUGGCUCUAUGUAGUUCUAAUUUGCAUUUCUCUAAUGACUAACGAUGUUAAACAUAUUUUUAUGUACUUGUUUCAUGUACUUGUUGAUAUGUCUAUUCAAUUCCUUUCACCAUUUUUAUGGAGCUGUUUUUUUAUUAUUGAGUUGUAGGAUUUCUUUAUAUAUGCUGCAUACCAGGCCUUUGUUAUAUACAUGCUUUGCAAUGUACAUUGUCUUAAAAUCUGUGGCUUGCCUGUUCAAUUCAUUAGUGGUGUUUUGUUAAGCAGUUUUUAAUUUUGAUGAAGUGUAACUUAUUCAUUUUUUAUUAUGGUUAUUGCUUUAUGUUUCAGGUCCCAAAUUUUGCCUUCUCACAAAUCACAAACAUUAUCCUAUGUUUUCCUUCAAAAAUUAUAUGGUUUUAUGUAUUUUCAAUCUCAAAAUAUUCUCUAAUUUUUUUGCUGAUUUAUUUACUAAAGAAAUUUGAGGGAUUUGCUAUAAUGUUAGGGAUUUUUCUAGAUGCCACAUUGUUAUUGAUUUCUAAUUUAAUUAUAUUAUGCUCAGAAAACAUAUUCUGUAUGCUUUCAACACUUUUAAAUUUAUUGAGACUUGUUGGAGGGUCCAGCAUAUAAUCUAUCUCAGUGAACACACUGUAUUUACUUGAAAAGAUGUAUAUUCUGCAGUUAUUCAGUGUAGUGUUCUAUAAAAUCAUUUAGGUCAAGGUGGUUGAUAGUUUGUUCAAAUCCAUCUACGUCUUCAUUAAUUUUAUUUAUCUGGCUCUAUCAAUUGCUAAAAGAAUGUUGUUAAAAAUUGUCAACUAUGAUUUUAGAAUCAUUUAUUUCUCCCUUUGAUUAAUGAAUGUUGUUUCAUGAAUUUUGAAGCUAUUCAGAGACAAAAAAAAACUAUUUAUGAAUAUUGUCUUCCUAAAUGAACUGAUGAU